CCUACGGGAGGCAGCAGUGGGGAAUAUUGGACAAUGGGGGAAACCCUGAUCCAGCGAAGCCGCGUGAGUGAAGAAGUAUUUCGGUACGUAAAGCUCUAUCAGCAGGAAAGAAAAUGACGGUACCUGACUAAGAAGCCCCGGCUAACUACGUGCCAGCAGCCGCGGUAAUACGUAGGGGGCAAGCGUUAUCCGGAUUUACUGGGUGUAAAGGGAGCGUAGACGGCGGCGCAAGUCUGGAGUGAAAUGCCGGGGCCCAACCGCGGAACUGCAGUGGAUACUGGGAAGCUUGAGUGCAGGAGAGGUAAGCGGAAUUCGUGGUGUAGCGGUGAAAUGCUUAGAUAUCAGGAGGAACACCGACGGCGAAGGCAGCUUACUGGACUGUAACUGACGUUGAGGCUCGAAGGUGUGGGGAGCAAACAGGAUUAGAUACCCGUGUAGUC
rnacentral:rRNA from 1 species